UCUAGAGAACCUCUGAUUUAACUGAUUGGUGGUUUCAUGUUUUCUAAAUUUCAGGUUUCUAAAUUGGCAUAACAGACAGACUUUAAUGAGAAAUCAUGUCCUUUCAAGAAAAAGACAAGGACUAUACAGUCAACAAGGUUUCUUGUUUGCUAACCGGUGGCUGCUAUCCUUGAAGAUUGAAUCUCCCUUUUUACUUCCUUGCAUAGGCCCACUUGAUUUGAGACUGCUUACAGGGUAAUCCUUCGCUACUUGUCAUGGACUUCAUCCAGUGGUGCCUGCCUGCCUACCUGGUGAAAAUCAAUGAGAGGAUGCUGUGAUUCAAAAUUCAAGAGAUUGCUGAUAAAUUGUGUAGUUGUUAGCUAAAUUACAAGUGCAUAUCUGGGCUCCCUUCUUUUCUGUGGCCCCGUUUCCCUAACUAACCACUAACCAACGCCCGCCGGUGGUCACUCACCCG